rnacentral:rRNA from 1 species
CCUACGGGAGGCUGCAGUGAGGAAUAUUGGUCAAUGGGCGCGAGCCUGAACCAGCCAAGUAGCGUGAGGGAAGACGGUCCUAUGGAUUGUAAACCUCUUUUGUCGGGGAGCAAAAGACGCCACGCGUGGCGUUCCGAGAGUACCCUAAGAAAAAGCAUCGGCUAACUCCGUGCCAGCAGCCGCGGUAAUACGGAGGAUGCGAGCGUUAUCCGGAUUUAUUGGGUUUAAGGGGGGCGCAGGCGGAAGAUCAAGUCAGUGGUAAAAUUGAGAGGCUCAACCUCUUCGAGCCGUUGAAACUGGUUGUCUUGAGUGAGCGAGAGGUAGGCGGAAUGCGUGGUGUAGCGGUGAAAUGCAUAGAUAUCACGCAGAACUCCGAUUGCGAAGGCAGCAUACCGGCGCUCAACUGACGCUCAUGCACGAAAGUGUGGGUAUCGAACAGGAUUAGAUACCCUAGUAGUC